rnacentral:rRNA from 1 species
CUACGGGGGGCUCCAGUGGGGAAUAUUGGACAAUGGGGGAAACCCUGAUCCAGCAAUGCCGCGUGUGUGAAGAAGGCCUGCGGGUUGUAAAGCACUUUCGGUUGGGAGGACUGCUUCUAGCACUAAUAUUGUUGGAAGUUGACGUUACCUUCAGAAGAAGCACCGGCAACUCCGUGCCAGCAGCCGCGGUGAAUACGGAGGGUGCAAGCGUUAAUCGGAAUUACUGGGCGUAAAGCGCGCGUAGGCGGCUAGAUCAGUCGGGUGUGAAAGCCCCGGGCGUAACCUGGGAACUGCAUCCGAUACUGUCUAGCUUGAGUACAGGAGAGGAGAGUGGAAUUCCACAUGUAGCGGUGAAAUGCGUAGAUAUGUGGAGGAACACCAAUGGCGAAGGCAGCUCUCUGGCCUGAUACUGACGCUGAGGUGCGAAAGCGUGGGGAGCAAACAGGAUUAGAUACCCCCGUAGUC